rnacentral:rRNA from 1 species
UACGAAGGGGACUAGCGUUGUUCGGAUUUACUGGGCGUAAAGCGCGCGUAGGCGGAUCGCUAAGUCAGGGGUGAAAUCCCAGGGCUCAACCCUGGAACUGCCUUUGAUACUGACGAUCUGGAGAUCGGGGAGAGGUUGGUGGAAUUCCGAGUGUAGAGGUGAAAUUCGUAGAUAUUCGGCAAGAACACCAGUGGCGAAGGCGGCUCACUGGCCCGAUAC